CUGACCGACACGGGAGAGACCAGCCGUCAGGCUGGCGCCGAAGGAGCAACCGCCCCGGAAACUCUCAGGCCAAAGGACCGAGGCGGUCAG
rnacentral:ncRNA from 2 species